UACAGGGGGGUGCAAACGUUGCUCGGAAUCAUUGGGCGUAAAGCGCACGUAGGCGGUCUGUUAUGUCGGAUGUGAAAGCCCUUGGCUCAACUGAGGAAGUGCAUCCGAAACUGGCAGGCUAGAGUACUAAAGAGGAUCGCGGAAUUCCCGGUGUAGAGGUGAAAUUCGUAGAUAUUCGCAAGAACACCAGUGGCGAAGGCGGCUCACUGGCCCGAUACUGACGCUGAGGCACGAAAGCGUGGGGAGCAAACAGGG
rnacentral:rRNA from 1 species